UAGUCUAACCUGUAAUAUUUCUCUCCCAUAGACUUGCACUGAAUUGGUUCUCAAAAAUAUGGAACAAAUCGUGUCCCGCAUCAGCUCAUGUCCUUUAGUUUCCAAUGACAAGAGGAUUUCAUAUUUUACGGGAUGGGUGGCAUCCCUAACUCCAUCUCCAAAUCAUGCAUGUCCCUCUCUUUUUUAUUAACAGCAAGGACAGUCGAAACAAACUGAACAGCAGCUUCACUCAAGGUCACCAUGGAAAAUAAGAUUCAGACAUUCAAAAAGCAGUGCAAGCAGAAGGUCCAGCCUUGGGGAAAUGCUGGAGCAUCUCUGGGCUGAAGUCCUCAUCUUGAGCCUCAGCAGUGGAGUGAAA